rnacentral:sRNA from 1 species
GUUCUUAUCGGAAAAAAGGAGAUUGUUAAGUAAUUUCCUUAAUACUCCCGAAACGAAAAAUGGGAAGAGGGCAUUGUAACUUGGGAAGAAAGUUAUUGAUUCAAGGCAUCAAAAUGAAGCUGAGAUUUUCUUAACU